rnacentral:tRNA from 1 species
GCCCGGCUAGCUCAGUCGGUAGAGCAUGAGACCCUUAAUCUAAGGGUCGUCGGUUCUAGCUCCACGUUGGGCG